AUCAUCCUGGAACUGAUGCCAGCAGAGCAGAGUUGCAAACUGAGUUGCAAGCCCUUCCUGACCCGUGGUAGAGCAGCAGCAUCCUGUAGGCAUCCUGAAUCUAGUUCAUCACUACAGAGAGGCUCAUGACCGUUCUUGCCAGGCAUCAGGAGCACAGCGCUCCACAAAGCUGCAGCAGAGCAAAGAGACCUGAGAGAGAUCCAUGGAAAGGCUCCUGUCCCCACAAGGGUUCUGAGUCAAGGCAACACUCACUACGGACUCUCCUUCAGAAUGUGGUGAGGACAGACAGGGACAGGGAGGUUACAGAGCUGGCUGUGGGUGCUCGGUCACUGCUUGAGGACAGUGGUGACUCAGGGGCCAGGGAGUCGGAUACUCCUGAGCUGGAGAACUGAGUUAAGUCCAGCCUCAGAGGACCAUGCGGAGGCCAGGCACCCAGGGCGGGGCAGGGCAGGACAGGACAGGAUAGGACGAGAGUUGCCUACCUACCACUGAAGUGGAGCCGGACUGCUACAGAAAAAUAAAAUAAUAAAAUAAAAUAAAAUGAAAUAUAAAAGUCU
rnacentral:lncRNA from 1 species